CAAGUAUUCCCUCCGUCAGAAAACACUUGUCAUCAAAAUGAAUAAAAAGGUAGAUACAUCCCAUUUUAUUCAUUUUGAUGACAAGUAUUUCCGGACGGAGGGAGUAGUAA
rfam:Triticum aestivum genome assembly, contig: Triticum_aestivum_CS42_TGACv1_scaffold_423338_5BS